AGAGUUUGAUCCUGGCUCAGGAUGAACGCUGGCGGCGUGCUUAACACAUGCAAGUCGAACGAAGCACCUUGAUUUGAUUCUUCGGAUGAAGAUCUUGGUGACUGAGUGGCGGACGGGUGAGUAACGCGUGGGUAACCUGCCUCAUACAGGGGGAUAACAGUUAGAAAUGACUGCUAAUACCGCAUAAGACCACAGCACCGCAUGGUGCAGGGGUAAAAACUCCGGUGGUAUGAGAUGGACCCGCGUCUGAUUAGGUAGUUGGUGGGGUAACGGCCUACCAAGCCGACGAUCAGUAGCCGACCUGAGAGGGUGACCGGCCACAUUGGGACUGAGACACGGCCCAAACUCCUACGGGAGGCAGCAGUGGGGAAUAUUGCACAAUGGGGGAAACCCUGAUGCAGCGACGCCGCGUGAGCGAUGAAGUAUUUCGGUAUGUAAAGCUCUAUCAGCAGGGAAGAAAAUGACGGUACCUGACUAAGAAGCACCGGCUAAAUACGUGCCAGCAGCCGCGGUAAUACGUAUGGUGCAAGCGUUAUCCGGAUUUACUGGGUGUAAAGGGAGCGUAGACGGAGUGGCAAGUCUGAUGUGAAAACCCGGGGCUCAACCCCGGGACUGCAUUGGAAACUGUCAAUCUAGAGUACCGGAGAGGUAAGCGGAAUUCCUAGUGUUGCGGUGAAAUGCGUAGAUAUUAGGAGGAACUCCGAUUGCGAAGGCAGCUCACUGGAGCGCAACUGACGCUGAAGCUCGAAAGUGCGGGUACCGAACAGGAUUAGAUACCCUGGUAGUCCGCACGGUAAACGAUGGAUGCCCGCUGUUGGUCUGAAUAGGUCAGCGGCCAAGCGAAAGCAUUAAGCAUCCCACCUGGGGAGUACGCCGGCAACGGUGAAACUCAAAGGAAUUGACGGGGGCCCGCACAAGCGGAGGAACAUGUGGUUUAAUUCGAUGAUACGCGAGGAACCUUACCCGGGCUUGAAUUGCAGAGGAAGGAUUUGGAGACAAUGACGCCCUUCGGGGCCUCUGUGAAGGUGCUGCAUGGUUGUCGUCAGCUCGUGCCGUGAGGUGUCGGCUUAAGUGCCAUAACGAGCGCAACCCCUCUCCUUAGUUGCCAUCAGGUUAAGCUGGGCACUCUGGGGACACUGCCACCGUAAGGUGUGAGGAAGGUGGGGAUGACGUCAAAUCAGCACGGCCCUUACGUCCGGGGCUACACACGUGUUACAAUGGCAGGUACAGAGAGACGGUUGUACGUAAGUACGAUCAAAUCCUUAAAGCCUGUCUCAGUUCGGACUGGGGUCUGCAACCCGACCCCACGAAGCUGGAUUCGCUAGUAAUCGCGCAUCAGCCAUGGCGCGGUGAAUACGUUCCCGGGCCUUGUACACACCGCCCGUCAAGCCAUGAAAGCCGGGGGCGCCUAAAGUCCGUGACCGUAAGGAGCGGCCUAGGGCGAAACUGGUAAUUGGGGCUAAGUCGUAACAAGGUA
rnacentral:rRNA from 1 species